rnacentral:misc_RNA from 1 species
ACUCAUCACAAAAUAAGGGUCUACGGUCUCAUAACACUGUCUAUUGUUUGUGUAUUGGGGUGUUUUGAACAUUUUGGAGAACCAGGUUGUCUGUUAUUAAGUUAAUAAUUCCUUCUUGCGGUUAUGUGAGUGAAUUCCAUUUAUUGGUUAUUAUGAACUCUUCCUUGGCAGCUUAUAUAUUGGAUGUUACUAUCCCACCUCUUUGAAUGAAUAUGUGGGAAAUUGAGGAUGGGAUAUUAAUCCUGUUAUGUAAAUUUUAAAGGUUAGAUCCAUCAAAAUUGCACCUUUGUAAUUUAUAACUAUUUAUAGAGAAUGCCAAAGAAUGUGUUCUUUCUGUAAAAUAUUGGCAUAACAACAGAGAUCUAUAAUAAAUUGGUACAUUUCUGUUUUGUGUAUUUGGGCCAUGCUUCUUGAAAAUUGCUUCUUGAGUUUUGGUGUACAAGAGUUAUUGAUCUAUGGAUUUUCUUUCCAUUUUCCUCCAAUGAAUAUUCACAUGAAGAGUUGUGUUAAGUUAAAUAGGGCAAAAGGCCUUUUUUAAAAAGCGUCCCUUGAAUUACAUGAAUAAAAAUCCUUUUAUAAAAAUUUGUUGCUUUUAUUUUGAGGACUCAAAGGGGAGUCCCUCUUGAGUCAUUCCAAUUCCUUUUGUUUUUAAAUUCCAAAACGAUUUUAGGAUUUGAAGGGGAGUCCCCCUUAAACCAUCCUUAUUCCAUUUAAAUUACAUUCCAAAUCAAUUUUAGGGUUUGAAGGGGAGUCCUCCUUAAACCAUCCUUAUUCCAUUAAAAUUAUAUUCUGAAUUGGUUUUGGGUUUGAAGGGGAGUCCUCCUUGAGUCUUUCCUAAAAUUUCAAUUUUGAAAGGCAAUUCCUUCUAGAAGGGGAGUCUCCCUUGAACCUUUCCUAAAAUUUUAACUUAAAACAUAAUUUCUCUUGGUUUUGGGUUUUAAGGGGAGUCCCCCUUGAGCCUUUCGUAAUCUUUAAUCCAAAAUACGAUUCCUUAUUGUUUUGGGUUUGAAGGGAAGUCCCCUUUUGAGCAUUUCCUAAAAUUUUAAUUGAAAAUAUAUUUUUUCUUUGUUUUCGGUUUGAAGGGGAGUCCCCCUUGAACCUUUCCUAAAAUUUUAA